UGGGGAAUCUUGGACAAUGGGCGCAAGCCUGAUCCAGCCAUGCCGCGUGAGUGAAGAAGGCCUUCGGGUUGUAAAGCUCUUUUACCAGGGACGAUAAUGACGGUACCUGGAGAAUAAGCCCCGGCAAACUUCGUGCCAGCAGCCGCGGUAAUACGAGGGGGGCUAGCGUUGUUCGGAAUUACUGGGCGUAAAGCGCACGUAGGCGGAUUGUUAAGUCAGAGGUGAAAUCCCGGAGCUCAACUUCGGAACUGCCUUUGAUACUGGCAAUCUAGAGUCCGGAAGAGGUUAGUGGAAUUCCCAGUGUAGAGGUGAAAUUCGUAGAUAUUGGGAAGAACACCAGUGGCGAAGGCGGCUAACUGGUCCGGUACUGACGCUGAGGUGCGAAAGCGUGGGGAGCAAACAGGAUUAGAUACCCAAGUAGUCCCUGAGCGGGCUGGCAAGGCGCAU
rnacentral:rRNA from 1 species